AGGCAUGCACUCAGACAUGUUUCAUGAAAAGAGAGACGGAACUGUGCCGCUGCCACUUAUCCGAUCACGAGUAUUCGGCCACGUUCAAAGGACGCAUCUGCAAUCUUCUUGAAGGAAAUGAUUGCUGGAAGGCCGCAUACGCAGCAAACAUAUUUGAGUCGUGCAUGGACCAAUGUCAAGCGUCGUGCGAGGAUAUCACUUACGACAGCCGCGUGGCUGGUAUACGGUCCAUUCCG